ACUGUUACGGAAACAGCAACGAAGAAUCCUAUAUCAAAGUGUGAUGGCAUUCCUGCCUUGUGAGACUGUCAGUAGUGAAAACCGAGAGGAAGCGACUGACAUGAUGAAGGAACUGGUGAACGCUGCCGGGGUGAAGGACCUUCAGUGCUGCCCUAAACGGGCAGUAAGUCAGUAAAUGCAACGUGUAGUGUAAAUGUCUGUGAUGGCGGAAAGAGAGACCCCGAUGAUCUUCUCAACUGACCUCACUAUCUGCUGCAGGGUAACAUUACCAUAGAAAAAUAGCCUCCGUCAUCAAAGGUCCUCGCCUUUCCGGCCAUGCUCUUUUCUCACAGCUGCCAUCAGAUAAAAGGUUCUACUGUGCUUCAACACACACAAAAUGCUGGUGGAACACAGCAGGCUACGCAGCAUCUAUAGGGAGAAGCGCUGUCGACGUUUCGGGCUGAGACCCUUCGUCAGGACUAACCGAAAGGAAAGAUAGUAAGAGAUUUGAAAGAUUUCUACGAUGCUUCUUUUGUUUUGCGGCUGCCUGCAAGAAGACGAAUCUCAAGGAUGUAUACUGUAUACAAACUUCGAUUAUAUCAGAAUCAGAAUCAUAAGACCAUAAGUUAUCGGAGCAGAAUUAGGCCAUUUGUUCCAUCGAGAUCUGUCCGCCAUUUCAUCAUGUCUGAUCCA